rnacentral:rRNA from 1 species
UACAGAGGUCUCAAGCGUUGUUCGGAUUCAUUGGGCGUAAAGGGUGCGUAGGUGGCGCCGUAAGUCAGGUGUGAAAUUUCGGAGCUUAACUCCGAAACUGCAUUUGAUACUGCGGUGCUAGAGUACUGGAGAGGAGGUUGGAAUUUACGGUGUAGCAGUGAAAUGCGUAGAUAUCGUAAGGAAGACCAGUGGCGAAGGCGAAUCUCUGGACAGUUACUGACACUGAGGCACGAAGGCCAGGGGAGCAAACGGG